rnacentral:other from 1 species
CGCGUGCUGCCCGGCUCGUGUAGGAUACUGCAUCCCCGGGGCCUUAUCGAUCCUUAAGGGAGCUGUCCCUGACCGGACCCGUGGGUUCGGAUAAACGGCGCCCACCUACAUGAGUAGGUUUCCCGGGAUCGACACAUCCCACGGCCAGGGCGGCACAAAU